rnacentral:rRNA from 1 species
GAUGAACGCUGGCGGCGUGCUUAACACAUGCAAGUCGAACGGACUUUACAUGAAGCCUAGCGAAUGUAAAGUUAGUGGCGGACGGGUGAGUAACGCGUGAAUAACCUGCCUUAUACUGGGGGACAACAGUUGGAAACGACUGCUAAUACCGCAUAAGCGCACGGAGCUGCAUGGCUCAGUGUGAAAAACUCCGGUGGUAUAAGAUGGAUUCGCGUCUGAUUAGCUAGUUGGUGAGGUAACGGCUCACCAAGGCGACGAUCAGUAGCCGGCCUGAGAGGGUGAACGGCCACAUUGGGACUGAGACA